rnacentral:rRNA from 1 species
UACGUAGGGCGCAAGCGUUGUCCGGAAUUAUUGGGCGUAAAGAGCUCGUAGGCGGCUUGUCACGUCGGUUGUGAAAGCCCGAGGCUUAACCUCGGGUCUGCAGUCGAUACGGGCUAGCUAGAGUGUGGUAGGGGAGAUCGGAAUUCCUGGUGUAGCGGUGAAAUGCGCAGAUAUCAGGAGGAACACCGGUGGCGAAGGCGGAUCUCUGGGCCAUUACUGACGCUGAGGAGCGAAAGCGUGGGGAGCGAACAGG